UGGGGAAUUUUGGACAAUGGGCGAAAGCCUGAUCCAGCAAUGCCGCGUGUGUGAAGAAGGCCUUCGGGUUGUAAAGCACUUUUGUCCGGAAAGAAAUCCUUGGCUCUAAUACAGCCGGGGGAUGACGGUACCGGAAGAAUAAGCACCGGCUAACUACGUGCCAGCAGCCGCGGUAAUACGUAGGGUGCAAGCGUUAAUCGGAAUUACUGGGCGUAAAGCGUGCGCAGGCGGUUUGCUAAGACCGAUGUGAAGUCCCCGGGCUCAACCUGGGAACUGCAUUGGUGACUGGCAGGCUAGAGUAUGGCAGAGGGGGGUAGAAUUCCACGUGUAGCAGUGAAAUGCGUAGAGAUGUGGAGGAAUACCGAUGGCGAAGGCAGCCCCCUGGGCCAAUACUGACGCUCAUGCACGAAAGCGUGGGGAGCAAACAGGAUUAGAUACCCUGGUAGUCCACGCCCUAAACGAUGUCAACUAGUUGUUGGGGAUUCAUUUCCUUAGUAACGUAGCUAACGCGUGAAGUUGACCGCCUGGGGAGUACGGUCGCAAGAUUAAAACUUAAAGGAAUUGACGGGG
rnacentral:rRNA from 1 species